rnacentral:rRNA from 1 species
UACGUAGGGUGCAAGCGUUGUCCGGAAUUAUUGGGCGUAAAGAGCUCGUAGGCGGUUUGUCGCGUCUGCUGUGAAAACUCGGGGCUUAACCCCGGGGCCUGCAGUGGGUACGGGGCAGACUAGAGUGCGGUAGGGGAGACUGGAAUUCCUGGUGUAGCGGUGAAAUGCGCAGAUAUCAGGAGGAACACCGGUGGCGAAAGGCGGGGUCUC